rnacentral:lncRNA from 1 species
GGCAAUCUAUGCUCCACAAUCUCAGAAUCCAAACCAGGAAUGUCUUGAUAGGACCAAGCAAACACAUCAGAAUACUCUCUUAGAAGAUCAAUCAACCCCUUCUUAGCUUCUGGACAUAGUUGAUACCCAAUCUUGACUUCCUUCACAUCAUCCUCGGAGCCCAAGUUGACCAGUUCAAUCUGCUCUUCAAAUGGCUGAAUGGAUUUUAUUCUCGUGCUCAAGAAAACG